AUCUUAGGUUGUUGCCAUGGGAGCUUUGGUUUAGGAUAAGAACACAACAUGUGACACGUGCAUAAAGCGCAUGUCAUGGUUCUUUUUCUUUUUUUUUCCAAUUGGAGCACAUGGUUCAAGCCAUUAUCCGUGGUAUUUAUGUUGGGAAGAGGAUACAGGGGUUGGUCAAUACUCCUCAGAGUUUCAAACCUGUGUGUCAACUGCACCCGGGCCAUAAUCCCACAGGGGAGAAAUAUAAUCUUAGAUUAAGGAAAUUUUUUUAUCAAACUCACCUUCUCCUGCAACUAAUUCAGUACCUUUUUCUUGGAAUAUGGUUUUUGAUCUUCUGACCAAAAUGGAACUGUUAAAUAUCUUUCACCUGCUUCUUUCUUUUAUAUUGCUUUGCAUAAAGUACCAGUCUUCAUUCUUAUUUACCAACAUGGUAAUGAAUUUUACCGUCAUUAUCUGGAUGGUUUUGCCUGGUUUGGCAGCCUUCAAUUUUACUUCCAUGUUUAACUGUUCAUCUAAAAUUUUCAGUUGAAUCCACCGUUGUUCUAAAUUUUCUAUGCAAUAAUUCAGAGUGUUUGGAUAGAUAUGGAUUUCUUAAGCAAUCUUCAUUCCUGUCAUAUAUGACACUUUUUAAUCCAGGAUAAGCUGUAUAAUUUCAGUUGGUAUUUCUAGUUGUUCGUCAUUGCCUUGUUAGGUAUAGAUUCUUUUUCAUCAGUCAUUUUUAAUCUGGAAGAGCUACGGAUAUUGUUGAUUUGAUUGUCGAUAUUGAUCACUUGAUCUUAAAGUAACCAGAAAGCUGCUAAGAGGAGGUUAUGGAGGUUAUCCAAAGGUGAACAAUCCCAAGCUUCUAGAGUUCACUGCUUUUCCCAGGCCGGAGAAGGGCUUAUACUGCUUGCCUUUGUUUGAUAUUAGCUGGGACUAAGAAGGGAUUGGAUUUGAUUAGCACGCUCUCUGCCUGUCCUUCCCUUAACUUUGUCGAUGGUAUGCCCGAGAUGGCAGUCUUUCUCCUUGGCUCGACGCGAACCUCCCUCUUGAAGAUUUAAAGAAAAUGCUGAGAGAAAUUGUCUUAGACUGUAUGACAAUAUGCCAAAAAAGGAAGACCGUUGUCUCAGUUAUGGUUAUCAUAGGUCAAGUGUGUAGAAUGUCUUACAUGAUAAUCUGCAACUCCGUGUAACAUGAUCUUCUUUUAUUGAGUUUGACAUAUUUGAUGUUAGAGAUCUCUUUGUCAGGACAGAAGUAAUUUGUCUUGUCAAUCCCUGUAUACCAGCUUGUUGUGAGUUUGAAUGUCGAGUGUGUAUCUGGAUUAAGUGGUGAAUGGUGAAUGUUAUGGAGUCACCUCAGAUUUUUCUUUCCUGUUAAUUCAAAUUUUCCUGUUUGAAAAUUGAAAUGGAAAAAAAGUGUGAUAUUUCCGAUA